AGAGUUUGAUCAUGGCUCAGGAUGAACGCUAGCUACAGGCUUAACACAUGCAAGUCGAGGGGAAACGACAUCGAAAGCUUGCUUUUGAUGGGCGUCGACCGGCGCACGGGUGAGUAACGCGUAUCCAACCUGCCCACCACUUGGGGAUAACCUUGCGAAAGUAAGACUAAUACCCAAUGACGUCUCUAGAAGACAUCUGAAAGGGAUUAAAGAUUUAUCGGUGAUGGAUGGGGAUGCGUCUGAUUAGCUUGUUGGCGGGGUAACGGCCACCAAGGCUACGAUCAGUAGGGAUUCUGAGAGGAAGGUCCCCCCACAUUGGAACUGAGACACGGUCCAAAACGUCCUACGGGAGGCA
rnacentral:rRNA from 1 species